rnacentral:rRNA from 1 species
AACGAACGCUGGCGGCAUGCCUAACACAUGCAAGUCGAACGAGAUCUUCGGGUCUAGUGGCGCACGGGUGCGCAACGCGUGGGAAUCUGCCCUUUGGUUCGGAAUAACAGUUGGAAACGACUGCUAAUACCGGAUGAUGACGAAAGUCCAAAGAUUUAUCGCCAGAGGAUGAGCCCGCGUAGGAUUAGCUAGUUGGUGUGGUAAAGGCGCACCAAGGCGACGAUCCUUAGCUGGUCUGAGAGGAUGAUCAGCCACACUGGGACUGAGACACGGCCCAGACUCCUACGGGAGGCAGCAGUGGGGAAUAUUGGACAAUGGGCGAAAACCUGAUCCAGCAAUGCCGCGUGAGUGAUGAAGGCCUUAGGGUUGUAAAGCUCUUUUACCCGGGAUGAUAAUGACAGUACCGGGAGAAUAAGCUCCGGCUAACUCCGUGCCAGCCGCCGCAGUAA